rnacentral:rRNA from 1 species
UACCAGCACCCCGAGUGGUCGGGACGAUUAUUGGGCCUAAAGCAUCCGUAGCCGGCCUUACAAGUCCUCCGUUAAAUCCAGCUGCUUAACAGAUGGGCUGCGGAGGAUACUAUAAGACUAGGAGGCAGGAGAGGCAAGCGGUACUCAGUGGGUAGGGGUAAAAUCCGUUGAUCCAUUGAAGACCACCAGUGGUGAAGGCGGCUUGCCAGAAUGCGCUCGACGGUGAGGGAUGAAAGCUGGGGGAGCAAACCGG